rnacentral:misc_RNA from 1 species
AGAAGAAAGAGGGUGAGGAAGAAAAGGACAAGGAUAAGCCAAAGAUUGAAGAUGUUGGAGAGGAUGAAGAUGAGGAUAAGAAAGAUGAGAAAAAGAAGAAAAAAACUAUCAAAGAGAAGUACACUGAUGAAGAAGAGUUGAAUAAGACUAAACCAAUUUGGACACGCAAUCCUGAUGAUAUCAGUCAAGAAGAGUAUGGUGAAUUCUACAAGUCUCUUACAAAUGACUGGGAGGAUCAUUUAGCAGUGAAGCAUUUCAGCGUUGAAGGGCAACUGGAGUUUCGUGCACUGCUGUUCGUCCCAAGACGUGUGCCAUUUGAUCUCUUUGAAAAUAAGAAGAAAAAGAACAAUAUCAAACUCUAUGUAAGAAGGGUCUUCAUCAUGGACAACUGCGAAGACCUCAUUCCAGAGUACCUGAACUUCAUCAAAGGUGUUGUAGAUUCAGAAGACUUGCCUUUGAACAUUUCUAGAGAGAUGUUACAACAGAACAAAAUCCUUAAGGUUAUUCGUAAAAAUCUGGUUAAAAAGUGCCUAGAACUAUUUGAAGAACUUUCUGAAGAUAAAGAUCUGUACAAGAAAUUCUAUGAGCAAUUCUCUAAGAACAUGAAGUUGGGCAUCCAUGAAGACACCCAAAAUAGAGCAAAACUAGCAGAUCUGUUAAGGUAUCA